CGAUCAGGAGAGACAGUUUGAUAGUAGAGACAAAUAUCACUCAAUAAACGGUCAAGCAAGUUUGGUUAUUUUGUGAGUCCCUAACACUAAACAUAGUACCACCAAACUGUCUCUCCUGAUUUACAGAACAGCCUUAAUAUAAUUAGCUAUACCCAUAUGGAGAAUUUCUUGAACAUGCUUGCAUUUGUCACUUUCAGUUAAACAUCUUAAGUUAUUCAUUUUAAGGAACAACUUGUAUUAAAAUCCUUCCUUCCUUUUCUUUCUUAACAUUUUUGUGAGGAAAGAAUGAUUUGUUUCAGAGGUCUGCAUCUAGUUAUUCUUAAGUUAUUCAUCUUAAGGAAUAACUUGUAUUAAAAUCCUUCCUUCCUUUUCUUUCUUAACAUUUUUGUGAGGAAAGAAUGAUUUGUUUCAGAGGUCUGCAUCUGGUUAUUUUUAAGUUAUUCAUCUUAAGGAAUAACUUGUAUUAAAAUCAUUCCUUCCUUUUCUUUCUUAACAUUUUUGUGAGGAAAGAAUGGAUGUCAAAAUGAUUAUGUCAGGAAGAAUGAUUUGUUUCAGAGGUCUGCAUCUGGUUAUUUUUAAGUUAUUCAUCUUAAGGAAUAACUUGUAUUAAAAUCAUUCCUUCCUUUUCUUUCUUAACAUUUUUGUGAGGAAAGAAUGAUUUGUUUCAGAGGUCUGCAUCUAGUUAUUUUUAAGUUAUUCAUCUUAAGGAAUAACUUGUAUUAAAAUCAUUCCUUCCUUUUCUUUCUUAACAUUGUGAGGAAAGAAUGUUUUGUUUCAGAGGUCUGCAUCUGGUUAUUUUUAAGUUAUUCAUCUUAAGGAAUAACUUGUAUUAAAAUCCUUCCUUCCUUUUCUUUCUUAACAUUUUUGUGAGGAAAGAAUGAUUGGUUUCAGAGGUCUGCAUCUAGUUAUUCUUAAGUUAUUCAUCUUAAGGAAUAACUUGUAUUAAAAUCAUUCCUUCCUUUUCUUUCUUAACAUUUUUGUGAGGAAAAAGUCAAAUUGAUUGUGUCAGGAAGAAUGUUUUGUUUCAGAGGUCUUUGCAUCUAGUUUAUGGAGCAUUUCAGACUUCGGCCUAUAAGGAAACAAAGGGAGACAAUAUUGUGCUUUAUGUUAUGGAAUGUCACAGAUUUGCUGGAACACACCCCUAUUUUUGUGCAUGACUGAUGUAGUUUGGAUCACUCAGUUACUUGGAGAUAUAAAGAACAAUGUUUAUCCAAUGAUGUAGACUGGGAUUCAGUGAUCUUAAAGGGAGAACUUUUGUAUUAUAAACUCUUCUUUUGCAUGCAUGUCAAAAAAUGAUGGUCAGGAAUAGAGACAAAGUAGUACA